rnacentral:rRNA from 1 species
UACGUAGGGACCAAGCGUUUGUUCGGAUUUACUGGGCGUAAAGGGCGCGUAGGCGGCGUGUUAAGUCAGCUGUGAAAUCUCCGAGCUUAACUCGGAACGGUCAGCUGAUACUGAUGUGCUAGAGUGCAGAAGGGGCAAUCGGAAUUCUUGGUGUAGCGGUGAAAUGCGCAGAUAUCGGGAAGAACACCCCGUGGCGAAGGCGGCACUCUGGGACGGUACUGACGCUGAGACGCGAAAGCGUGGGGAGCGAACAGG